UCCAGGGUAGCCUAGUGGACAUGGCAUCUGCCCAGUAAGCAGAACACUGUGGGUUCGAUUCCCAUCCCUGGAC
rnacentral:tRNA from 1 species